rnacentral:rRNA from 1 species
GACGAACGCUGGCGGCGUGCUUAACACAUGCAAGUCGAACGGAAAGGCGCUGCUUUUGUGGGGUGCUCGAUUGGCGAACGGGUGAGUAACACGUGAGUAACCUGCCCUUGACUUUGGGAUAACUUCAGGAAACUGGGGCUAAUACCGGAUAGGAGCUCCUGCUGCGUGUUGUGGGUUGGAGAGUGUCGGCGGUACGGGAUGGAUUGGCGGCUUAUGCGCUGGUUGGUGGGGUAGUGGCAUACCAAGGCUUUGACGGGUAGCCGGCCUGAGAGGGUGACCGGCGACAUGGGGACUGAGAGACGCACCAGACUCGUACGGGAGGCAGCAGUGGGGAAUCUUGCACAAUGGGCGGAAGCCAGUUGCAGCAACGCCGCGUGCGGGAUGACGGCUUUCGGGGUGUAAACCGAUGUCGCAUGUGACGAAGCGUGAGUGACGGUAAUGGGUAAAGAAGCACCGGCUAACUACGUG